rnacentral:rRNA from 1 species
GAGUUUGAUCCUGGCUCAGAUUGAACGCUGGCGGCAUGCCUUACACAUGCAAGUCGAACGGCAGCACGGGAGCUUGCUCCUGGUGGCGAGUGGCGAACGGGUGAGUAAUGCAUCGGAACGUAUCCUGGAGUGGGGGAUAACGUAGCGAAAGUUACGCUAAUACCGCAUAUUCUGUGAGCAGGAAAGCGGGGGACCUUCGGGCCUCGCGCUCUUGGAGCGGCCGAUGUCGGAUUAGCUAGUUGGUGAGGUAAUGGCUCACCAAGGCGACGAUCCGUAGCAGGUCUGAGAGGAUGAUCUGCCACACUGGAACUGAGACACGGUCCAGACUCCUACGGGAGGCAGCAGUGGGGAAUUUUGGACAAUGGGGGCAACCCUGAUCCAGCCAUGCCGCGUGAGUGAAGAAGGCCU